UGUGUGACUGCGUACCUUUUGUAUAAUGGGUCAGCGACUUAUAUUCUGUAGCAAGGUUAACCGAAUAGGGGAGCCGGAGGGAAACCGAGUCUUAAUUGGGCGUUAAGUUGCAGGGUAUAGACCCGAAACCCGGUGAUCUAGCCAUGGGCAGGUUGAAGGUUGGGUAACACUAACUGGAGGACCGAACCGACUAAUGUUGAAAAAUUAGCGGAUGACCUGUGGCUGGGGGUGAAAGGCCAAUCAAACCGGGAGAUAGCUGGUUCUCCCCGAAAGCUAUUUAGGUAGCGCCUCGUGAAUUCAUCUCCGGGGGUAGAGCACUGUUUCGGCUAGGGGGCCAUCCCGGCUUACCAACCCGAUGCAAACUGCGAAUACCGGAGAAUGUUAUCACGGGAGACACACGGCGGGUGCUAACGUCCGUCGUGAAGAGGGAAACAACCCAGACCGCCAGCUAAGGUCCCAAAGUCAUGGUUAAGUGGGAAACGAUGUGGGAAGGCCCAGACAGCCAGGAUGUUGGCUUAGAAGCAGCCAUCAUUUAAAGAAAGCGUAAUAGCUCACUGGUCGAGUCGGCCUGCGCGGAAGAUGUAACGGGGCUAAACCAUGCACCGAAGCUGCGGCAG
rnacentral:rRNA from 1 species